GAAGUCGUUACUUCAACCCUUGUGGAGGAGGACGCCGAAGGUGGGGCUAAUGACUGGGGUGAAGUCGUAACAAGGUAGCCGUACCGGAAGGUGCGGCUGGAUCACCUCCUAACAGGGAGACAACAAAAUGUAAAUAUUAAUUUUGUCACCUUAGGUCGAUCGGUAUCUCAGAUUCUUAUUUUUUAAGAAUUUCAGUUUCUAAGUUUUUUCUAGGUCACACCCAUCACUUUUUCCUGGGCCAUUAGCUCAGGUGGUUAGAGCGCACCCCUGAUAAGGGUGAGGUCCCUGGUUCAAGUCCAGGAUGGCCCAUAUCUCUAUGUUGGGGGUAUAGCUCAGUUGGUAGAGCGCCUGCUUUGCAAGCAGGAUGUCAGCGGUUCGAGUCCGCUUACCUCCACUGAAUACCACCUCUUACAUAUAGUUGAAGUGGGAAAUUGUUUUGAGUCGUGUCCUAAUUUGCUCUGAGCGAAUCUAGCUUCCUAUUUUAUCCAAGAAAUAAGAUGCUGGACUCAUUGAAUUUUUUUUCAUUGUUUUCAGAGAACCUUGACAACUGCAUAGAUUAUUUUUAAAGACAAUAAGCAUCUUUAAUGAUGCAGAUUUAUUAUUUGUGCGAAUGCAUUAAAUAACAAUUCUAUUAAGCUGAUGCUUCAAUUAUUGAAGUUAUUGGUCAAGCUACAAAGGGCUCACGGAGGAUACCUAGGCACACAGAGGCGAUGAA
rnacentral:misc_RNA from 1 species